rnacentral:rRNA from 1 species
CCGACGGUGAGAGGUGAAAGCUGGGGGAGCAAACCGGAUUAGAUACCCGGGUAGUCCCAGCCGUAAACGAUGUGCGUUAGGUGUAUCGGUGACCACGAGUCACCGAGGUGCCGAAGAGAAAUCGUGAAACGUACCGCCUGGGAAGUACGGUCGCAAGGCUGAAACUUAAAGGAAUUGGCGGGGAGCACCACAACAGGUGGAGCCUGCGGUUUAAUCGGACUCAACGCCGGGAAACUCACCAGAUAAGACAGCUGAAUGAUAGUCGGGCUGAAGACUCUACUUGACUAGCUGAGAGGAGGUGCAUGGCCGUCGUCAGUUCGUACUGUGAAGCAUCCUGUUAAGUCAGGCAACGAGCGAGACCCACGCAACAGUUGCUAG